ACAUCUUCCGUAGGGUGAACCUGCGGAGGGAUCAUUACACAAAUAUGAAGGCGGGCUGGAACCUCUCGGGGUUACAGCCUUGCUGAAUUAUUCACCCUUGUCUUUUGCGUACUUCUUGUUUCCUUGGUGGGUUCGCCCACCACUAGGACAAACAUAAACCUUUUGUAAUUGCAAUCAGCGUCAGUAACAAAUUAAUAAUUACAACUUUCAACAACGGAUCUCUUGGUUCUGGCAUCGAUGAAGAACGCAGCGAAAUGCGAUAAGUAGUGUGAAUUGCAGAAUUCAGUGAAUCAUCGAAUCUUUGAACGCACAUUGCGCCCUUUGGUAUUCCAAAGGGCAUGCCUGUUCGAGCGUCAUUUGUACCCUCAAGCUUUGCUUGGUGUUGGGCGUCUUGUCUCUAGCUUUGCUGGAGACUCGCCUUAAAGUAAUUGGCAGCCGGCCUACUGGUUUCGGAGCGCAGCACAAGUCGCACUCUCUAUCAGCAAAGGUCUAGCAUCCAUUAAGCCUUUUUUUCAACUUUUGACCUCGGAUCAGGUAGGGAUACCCGCUGAACUUAAGCAUAUCAAUAAGCCGGGAGGAAAAAU
rnacentral:rRNA from 1 species